rnacentral:rRNA from 1 species
AUUGAACGCUGGCGGCAGGCCUAACACAUGCAAGUCGAACGGUAACAGGAAGAAGCUUGCUUCUUUGCUGACGAGUGGCGGACGGGUGAGUAAUGUCUGGGAAACUGCCUGAUGGAGGGGGAUAACUACUGGAAACGGUAGCUAAUACCGCAUAACGUCGCAAGACCAAAGAGGGGGACCUUCGGGCCUCUUGCCAUCGGAUGUGCCCAGAUGGGAUUAGCUAGUAGGUGGGGUAACGGCUCACCUAGGCGACGAUCCCUAGCUGGUCUGAGAGGAUGACCAGCCACACUGGAACUGAGACACGGUCCAGACUCCUACGGGAGGCAGCAGUGGGGAAUAUUGCACAAUGGGCGCAAGCCUGAUGCAGCCAUGCCGCGUGUAUGAAGAAGGCCUUCGGGUUGUAAAGUACUUUCAGCGGGGAGGAAGGGAGUAAAGUUAAUACCUUUACUCAUUGACGUUACCCGAAGAAGAAGCACCGGCUAACUCCGUG